UGGUCAAUAGCCUAACGGCUGAACCAGCAACUUGGAGGAAUGUAUAGCGAAAGCUAGCUGCAUUUAACUUAACUAGAGUUAGUGUAGUAUUGACUAUGUCGAAUAAAGUUCUAGAUGGGUUAUGAUGAUGACAUUUCCUAUCUAUGUGUCUUGACCAAAUUACGUGCCAGCAGUCGCGGUAACACGUAAAAGACUAGUGUUAUUCAUCUUUAAUAGGUUUAAAGGGUACCUAGACGGUAAAUCAAGUCCGAGAAGGAUACUAAUUUGACUAGAGUUUAAUAUGAGGGGGCACAAAAGUACUGAUAAGUGGAGAGAUGAAAUUCUGUGAUACAAUAUACGGCACUGGUAAAGGCGAAGGCAUCUCAUUAUGUAAUAACUGACGUUGAGGGACGAAGGCUAUGUAUAGCAAAAAGGAUUAGAUACCCAAGUAGUCUUAGCAGAAAAUUAUGAAUGUCAUAGGAUAGAACAACAAUUUUUUUUCUAUAAAUGAAAGUGUAAGCAUUCCACCUCGAGAGUAAUAUGGCAACAUAGGAACUGAAAUCAUUAGACCGUUUCUGAAACAAGUAGUGAAGUAUGUUGUUUAAUUUGAUGGUCCGCAAAAAACCUUACCACAAUUUGAAUAGAAAAAAAUUUUUUUCAUACAAGCGCUGCACGGUUGUCUUCAGUUAAUGUCGUGAGAUCUUGGUUAGUUCCAUUAAAUUAACGUAAACCCUUACUUUAUUUUUAUAUAGAGUAGUUCACCGCUAGAUUGGAUGUGAUAA
rnacentral:rRNA from 1 species